ACCUUCUUUAACUCACUGUCUUUAUCUCCAGCUACACCCUGACAUGUGCCUUCUGACAAGCAAGCUUGUUGUUUUUCAACAUGUGAUAAAUGCUUCCCGCCUGUCUUGCUUUCAUAAUAUCCUUAACUAUAUAUUCAUAAUUAUAUCACUAACAAUACCUUAUACAUUUUUAUGUCGUGUGAACUUUAUAAAGAUGGAGCCCAUUGUACAUAAUUCCCAAUGAUUCCCUUUUUAUUCAACAUUAGCUUUUGGGUCUAGCAGACAUCUGUGGUGGCCCACAACACCUCGGAGAUAUAAACAACAGUGAGAGGAGUCAAGACAAAAUGCUCCAGCCUUGCACCUUCAGCUCUGAGCUGUAUUCGAUGUGAUUCUUCCGAGUGUUCCCAAUGGGAUUGAGCACAGUGUUCAGAGUGCACUGCUGGGUUAGGGUCUCCCCGACUGAGCUGAUCUCGGCAAGUGGCAUCCAUUCAUAGGGGCUCAAAUCCAGGUCGAAGGGUCGCUGGAGCACCGGUUGGAACGGAAAACUAGCUGGAGGACACCCGAGUACUCUUAAAGCAAUCCCCGUGAUGGAUCUAGUAAUGGUAAAACUUCUUAUUCUGGCUCGAAAAGUAAAGUUUUCCAGACGUCCUACAUUCAGCUCAAAAAGCGGAGCUUGUAGCUGUAAUUGAGGCCAAAAUCAACAGCCGAUUUGGAUACCAUCAAGACACCUGAAACCUUAUUAUGAGCCAGAUGCUGAGGAAGAGACUCCGGGAGGAUCCCGAGUACCCCCCAGUUGCAGCCAUGUCGAGACUGGAGCUGAGGAGGAACCCAACUGUCACGAGCAACACCCGUCGAACACAGCCACCCACCUGGGGACAGAUCAAGAAGCUGUCACAGAUGGUGGAAGAAAACCUGAGGAAAGCAGGACAACCAGUCACAAUGAAUAAUUUAAUGGUAGCUAUGAUAGCAGUUAUCACCACUGCUGUGAGUAUUCCUUCAAUAACGGCUGGUAAUAAUGCCUGGAUACAACCACUAUGACACAGUUACACAUGCUUUCUGAUCUCAGGAUUUACCGUAAUAAAUCUGCUCCUAUAAUUGAGGCAUACCAUGCUCAAAAACCUAUUUGUGAACAGGAUUGGACCCAGUUUGAAGAAAUGAACGUACUUGUCUAGGAAGAUUGCUUUGCAGCACGGGCAGAGGUGCUGCACAACGAUUCCUAUGGAAUCAUUAUUAAUUGGUCCCCCAAGGGGAUGUUUAGCUUGAAUUGCACCUCUCAGUCUGCGUGCCACAGUCAUACUAUGUUCAGAUGAUCUGAACAAAACGGUCAGAUGGUAGAAAUGAUAAGAAGUAUGGCAAAUGUUCCUAUUAUCUGGAACCAUGGCGAUAUAGUGGCACCUCAACCUCAAAUGAUAUGGCCCGCUCUAGGAGCUUAACAUAAGGAUUUAAAAUGAAAAGAACAAAUAUUUAAAGCAUCCCAGGCACACCUGACCUUAAUUCCAGGAACUGGAGUGCU